GUAGGUGGCAAGCGUUGUCCGGAAUUAUUGGGCGUAAAGCGCGCGCAGGCGGUUCUUUAAGUCUGAUGUGAAAGCCCACGGCUCAACCGUGGAGGGUCAUUGGAAACUGGAGAACUUGAGUACAGAAGAGGAAAGCGGAAUUCCACGUGUAGCGGUGAAAUGCGUAGAGAUGUGGAGGAACACCAGUGGCGAAGGCGGCUUUCUGGUCUGUAACUGACGCUGAGGCGCGAAAGCGUGGGGAGCAAACAGGAUUAAAUACCCUGGUAGUCCACGCCGUAAACGAUGAGUGCUAAGUGUUAGGGGGUUUCCGCCCCCUUAGUGCUGCAGCUAACGCAUUAAGCACUCCGCCUGGGGAGUACGGCCGCAAGGCUG
rnacentral:rRNA from 1 species